AAUUCUGAGGAAACAUCCCAUUCUCCACGGUUUCUCCGUAGGGAUCUGAGAUUUUGGCAUGGCUCCUCACAAAGAGCACUGCCACAUUUCGGUGGGCAUGUCACAUGCAAACAUGCAUCAUACGGAAGGAAUUAAAGGUUAAAAGACAUUUUGUGACUAUGCUGAUUAAACAGCUGUUUUUUCAUCAUACUUGUAAUUAGACCAUCCUCUGUUAUCCAUGUCAUUAUCCAAAAAUAAAUGCAUAUGAAGAUAAACACCUAGUUUGCUUAUAUAGACUGAGAAUCCCUAGUUUUAGAAUGAGCUUCAGAUAAAUACAACUUGCUUUUGCUGCUGUGAAUUGCAGUCAGCCACAUACCUUCAAACUGCAAACUCCACUUUCCUACGUAAGUCCUGACACAACUCGCUCUACCACGAUUUAACUGAGACAAACUCCUGACAAGCAUUUAAUUUCCUGAGGAAAAGAAGCAAAAGUUUUGACUGUGACAUCUGAACACUUGCACUGUACUGUUCAGCCUUUCAUACAAAGUAGGAAACUGCUGGGAAACACCAUAUAUUAGAAUUGUAUUCAACACAGAAAAAAAAAUCCUAGCUCUACCCUAAAAAUUUUGCCACAAAGUUUGAAUGCACAAUUUAUAUUUGGGUUCAUAUAUUUAAAACUUCAUUUAAAAUACAUUGACAGUAAUGAAAACUUCAGAAAUCUAAUGGAGUUACUUAUAGCAACAAGGACAUGUUUAGCACAUAAGCCAUUCUUGCUCAGCUACCAAUUGCCAUGGAAAUGAGAAUGGAAGACUACAGGCACCAAUUUUACGGCCAAAUUUUACUCUUGGAUGUAAAUUCGUAGCAGUCAGUCAAUAAUGAGCACUGAGCUGCAGCUCAGGACAGACUGCUUUCUGCUCCUGCAGAGUUAUGAAUUCACCUAGCAGGAAAUAAUUAGGCAAAGGUAUAAAUUUAACUGAACAGGAAAUUUGGGUUCUCAGUAACUGGAGCAGAAGUUAUCAUCUAAUUUAUCCCACUUAUUUUUUCGGCAUUUUUUUUCUACUAAAAAACCCUCAUUCUAGAUAUCUAAAAUUAUAUAGUGAGCUCACCUGGAAAGAGAAGAACUCUUUAGUUCAAAUAACUUCCUGUAGGGAAGAAAAAAAAUUAGCAUUAAAAAUGCACACAACAAUAAAAGCCAAAGGGUACACUUGGACUUUUUUACAGUCCCAGAGAUACGGUGUAACAACACGCUAUAGGUAAACACACCUGUCUGUGUACACACACACAGCUACCCUGAUAAAAUGAUCUCAUUCUUACAAAAAGGAAAAAAACAAUCAUCCAUCUCCCUCAUAAUAUCCAGCAAGAAACACACGGUGAGUAACAACUUCAAAUCUGUACGUGGCAAUUGCUUACACACAACAGAACAUACAUGGUGAUAAGGAAACACAUUAAAACAUGAAAGUUACUGACAACAAAAACCGUAAGAAAUGCAAAGUCUCAUUUAUCAAUGUUAAAACAAUUUAACAAACUCUAUUACAGUUGCUCAAAUUACAGCCAUAAAACGAAGUCAGGAACACAAAAUGAUCAUAUGCUCUUAAAAAUCUGAAAAAGGACCACAUGAGUAACUGAAAUGUAAGUAUAUGCUAACAAAACAUCAUCAUUUCUUUGAGAACAAAGGUAAAACAAACAUCUUAAAAAGUUAAAGUAUAAACAGGUAUUAUCUUGUACAAGUGUUGUUGCAGUUUGUCUAAACAAAGGACUUUCAAAAAGCUGUAGUUAUCAGAGUUCUUUGAGACAAGGAUCACCGGGCACUUGUGGACAGCACAAAAAUACAAAAUUUAAAGGAAAGUUUGUCUUACCAUGUUAGAUUUAAGAGUUUUCACCACUGAACUGAUGAUUUGUUUUGCUUUGAACAAAGUUUUAAUAGCUUACUGGUAUUUCACCAUUUAUCACGUAUCCCAGAGACUAAAACAAACAAACCAACACAACCCUACUAAGCAUCCCAGUAUUCAAUAAAUACUACUGAUCCUAUUAUGUAAGCCUUUAAAAAAAGACAUAAUUCAAAUUACGCAAAUAAAUACCUAGCUAUAACUUUAUAAAUAUUUAAAUAAAAUCCUGUUGAUUGUGGAUUAAAUUCCUAAAUAUACAGCUAAACUACAAAUUCCAUUGUCUUAAAUUCAGAAACACAGAUCAGAAAGAUCUUCUUUUUUCCUCAGAUCCAAAGCAUCCCAAAGGGAAAAAAACACUUAUGCUCUCAAACUGAUUGCUUUCUGUAACAGUUGCAAACUUCCUCAAACCCUUCAUCACAAGAAGCAGCGCCAUCCCUCUUCUCCUGGAUAAUGCUUUUUAACCUGUAGGGCCUCCAGGCUCUGUAAACAGCUGAGGAAAGGCAGCCAAAACUAAAAACUCUUAUUUCCUUUACUGUCAGAAACAUGUUAAGAGAUUUACACUUCUGCUAGAAAACAUAAUGGACUGGAAACUGACAGUCCUUUAUCUACCCACAGAAGUUAAUGAUCCCUAAUACAGCACAUUCAUGAUAUUCCAAGGCUGUAAGAUGACAUCUAUUCAAAAGCAAAGAUCACAUAUUCCUGUUAUUUCCUAAAAGCUUAAAGACCAACUUGAUGCUCCUGAUAUAUUAAAACCGUGUCGUUUGGCCUAUUUGGUCCCUUUCUAUGCAAUUGGUUUUACAUUCUUAACCUGCUUCUCCUGAUUUUUGAGAAACUCCUCAACAAAGUAUCCUAUUAUAUGGCCUGAGCAUUUCCACUACUGUGAUUUGUGAUUCACGAAAUCAAAAGUAUUACCACUGCGUAGGCCAAACAUUACUACAAGACUCAUCAAAUCAUUUCAGUCACACAUACCUCCCGUUCUGCACUAAACAAUGCUGUGAACCACUAUUCUUUGCAUACAUCUGACCUCAUGCUGCAUUUCAGUGGCGAGGUGACUAAAUGUCAUUUUUCACUUAGGCAGAUUGAGCGUUACAGGUGAAACAAUAAGAUUAAAAUAGGAUGUCAACUUAGGCUCUUGCACUUACGGCAUGCUGGGGUAGAUUCACAGCUCAGAAAGCUUAGUCAGCCCUUGGCAUAACUGAAAUUUCUUCACUGGCUUACUCUGAUGCUACAGACAUAAUUCAUGUUAUCAACAACAAAAGAAAAGACUAUGUUUACUUGGCUAAUUAGAUUUUUUUUUCCUUAUUCUUUUACAAUAUUUAAUUAAAUAUUAAUUAAACAUGUAAUUAAAAAUCUCAGAGUCCUCUUAGAGAAUCGUCUAUUUGCAAUCCAUGACUGAGUUGUUGUGGAAAACAGACUGAGGUACUUUGGUAAACAUUGUGAAACACCUCUCUCUUCACAUCAUAUCCAGCACAGGAAAGAAGUGAGAUAGAGCAGAGGGAAAAGGAACAACAGCAACAACAAAUGUUUUUAACACUUAGCUGAAUGGGAAGGGACUACUGAUAUGUUACUGAUAUGAUAAUAUAUACCUUUACAUAUGUAAUGAAUAGGUAAGAAGUCACCUACAUUUAUAUCCAUUGUGAAUAGAUCUCCAAAAACCAAGUGAUUUUUAAGCCUUUUCUUUCUUUGUUUACUGUUCCGGCACUGUUUUUGUGUGUUUCUUUCUCAGUUCACUAUACACAAGUACUUCAACAAACAAAAUGUUCCUAACAGUUGAUUUUGCAUGUUUCUUUGUGAUAUACAUAUAUAUUUUUUUUUGGUUGAAAACGAAAGAAUAGCAUGCUUUUAUACUUAUCUAUUGCACAAUUCAGUACUUUUUCAUUCUCCUUCCUAUUAAAGUAAUUCCGCUACUAGACUGAAUAGCCCCACAGAAUCCAUUUGGUCUGUUAGCUCAGGGACUCCCAGAACAAAAUUAUUAUUAAUAAUAAUAAUAAUAACAACAACAACCCUAAUUAUGCCAUUAAAUACAAAUGUACUGAGACGGCCUUUGAGAGUUCAUGAGUAAACAGGAAUUGUAAAAAAAAUAAAAUAAAAUAAAAUAAAAGCCUCUGUAAUAAAAUACAGUACAGUACACAGAUUCAUGUAAUACAAUGGCUCAAUCUGGAGCUGUAACAGACAACAACAAUGCAUUUAAAAUGUUUAUUAUGGGCUGCUUCUUUUUCUUUAAUUGCAGGUAAAAAAUAAAUCCUCAGAGGAUAUUUAAAGCAACAAAAAAACAAAAAACAAAACAAAAAAAAAACACAAAAAACCCCCACUACAUUCUACUUUAGAAGUUCUCCCAAUAAGUUGAUUUAUAAUCAAUAAAAAUAAAAAACAAUGAACAUUACAUCUGAGCAAGCACUCCAUUAUAACCCACCUCAUAGUGCCAGAUUACUGCAGCAAACUGUGUCCUGUGCUCAAAGAGUUAUUGCAUCUGCUGGAACACUACAGGUUAUCCUCAUGACGGCUGGAGUAUCAACACAGACUUCCAGCUUUCAUUCUCAGUUUCUCCCUUAGCGCACCGGUGAGAACAUUAACAUUCUUACAAUAGCUUUAUAUAAGCAACAGAACACAGACCUCUGUUAUUAAAUCAGCCUUCUAAAAUAUAAAAAUAUUUGUUAUUGUGAAAAUGUCUUUCAAUCAUACUUCGAUUUUCAUAGUUUUAAUAAGGAAUACCUAAUUAGAACCAUCACUUUAGGACUACAAUGUGCAUUCAGUUGACUUCAUGUAAAUAGACAAACAGUUAAAAACACGUACUAACAUUAAAUAGAGUCAAAAUUGCAAAAACAUACAAUCUGACAACGUUGUCAUGUGCUCUUUCAAAGAGUGCAUAGGACAGAGUGCAGCAGUCAAUACAGUAAAUUCUUUUGAUGCAAUCCCAGGUCAAAGCUGUAAACAUUCCUAGUUGCAGUUUCUUGGAAACUUUUCAUUCAUUUCAAGUUUUUGUUAGCGAGUUGCACAGGGCUUUCCCCUGUCAUUUUUUCUACCAGUCA